GGUCCCAUGGUGUAAUGGUCAACACUCAGGACUCUGAAUCCUGUUAUCUGAGUUCAAAUCUCGGUGGGCCCC
rnacentral:tRNA from 1 species